rnacentral:rRNA from 1 species
UACGAAGGGGGCUAGCGUUGCUCGGAAUCACUGGGCGUAAAGCGCACGUAGGCGGGUCGUUAAGUCGGGGGUGAAAUCCUGGAGCUCAACUCCAGAACUGCCUUUGAUACUGAGGAUCUUGAGUUCGGGAGAGGUGAGUGGAACUGCGAGUGUAGAGGUGAAAUUCGUAGAUAUUCGCAAGAACACCAGUGGCGAAGGCGGCUCACUGGCCCGAUACUGACGCUGAGGCACGAAAGCGUGGGGAGCAAACAGGG